rnacentral:rRNA from 1 species
GACGAACGCUGGCGGCGUGCCUAAUACAUGCAAGUCGAACGCUUCUUUCCUCCCGAGUGCUUGCACUCAAUUGGAAAGAGGAGUGGCGGACGGGUGAGUAACACGUGGGUAACCUACCCAUCAGAGGGGGAUAACACUUGGAAACAGGUGCUAAUACCGCAUAACAGUUUAUGCCGCAUGGCAUAAGAGUGAAAGGCGCUUUCGGGUGUCGUUGAUGGAUGGACCCGCGGUGCAUUAGCUAGUUGGUGGGGUAACGGCUCACCAAGGCCACGAUGCAUAGCCGACCUGAGAGGGUGAUCGGCCACACUGGGACUGAGACACGGCCCAGACUCCUACGGGAGGCAGCAGUAGGGAAUCUUCGGCAAUGGACGAAAGUCUGACCGAGCAACGCCGCGUGAGUGAAGAAGGUUUUCGGAUCGUAAAACUCUGUUGUUAGAGAAGAACAAGGACGUUAGUAACUGAACGUCCCCUGACGGUAUCUAACCAGAAAGCCACGGCUAACUACGUG